rnacentral:rRNA from 8 species
GUAUCUUCGGAUAUGAGUAGAGCGGCGGACGGGUGAGUAACGCGUAGGAAUCUACCUAGUAGAAGGGGAUAGCCCGGGGAAACCCGGAUUAAUACCGUAUACCUCCUUCGGGAGAAAGAAGGCCUCUCUUUGAAGCUUUCGCUACUAGAUGAGCCUGCGUAAGAUUAGCUUGUUGGUGAGGUAAAGGCUCACCAAGGCGACGAUCUUUAGCUGGUCUGAGAGGACGAUCAGCCACAUUGGGACUGAGACACGGCCCAGACUCCUACGGGAGGCAGCAGUGGGGAAUAUUGGACAAUGGGCGCAAGCCUGAUCCAGCCAUACCGCGUGUGUGAAGAAGGCCUUCGGGUUGUAAAGCACUUUAAGCAGGGAGAAAAAGUUAUAAGUUAAUACCUUAUAACCCUGAUGUUACCUGCAGAAUAAGCACCGGCUAAUUCCGUGCCAGCAGCCGCGGUAAUACGGAAGGUGCAAGCGUUAAUCGGAAUUACUGGGCGUAAAGCGCGCGUAGGUGGUUUGUUAAGUUGGAUGUGAAAGCCCUGGGCUUAACCUAGGAACUGCAUCCAAAACUAACUCACUAGAGUACGAUAGAGGGAGGUAGAAUUCAUAGUGUAGCGGUGGAAUGCGUAGAUAUUAUGAAGAAUACCAGUGGCGAAGGCGGCCUCCUGGAUCUGUACUGACACUGAGGUGCGAAAGCGUGGGUAGCGAACAGGAUUAGAUACCCUGGUAGUCCACGCCGUAAACGAUGACAACUAGCCGUUGGGAGACAAUGUCUUUCAGUGGCGCAGCUAACGC